AGUCUCCAAAGCUACACAGAGAACCCUGUCUUGAAACCCCCCCAAAAAAGCAAAAAACCCCAAGACCCCAAAACCAAACAAACAAAAAACAAAAAACAGUCCAAUCUAAUCUAGUCAAUAUUUGCAAGCAUUGAUUUGAAGGUAUUGGCUUGGCAGUUUAGGAACUGGUGCCAAAGAGCCAAGAGUCACUGUGUAGGCAGAAAAUCUAUUAUUUGGGUCCAAAUAACAGCAUUUUGAAGAAGGAACUUAGGACACAGUGUCUCUCUAAUGUCAGGGAAUGCCCAGACACACAACACAGAGGACCGUGCUUCUGGCUAGGGGUGGACGACUUGCUCAACCCUGGCCUGAAAGCUUGGCUUGGGUCUACAGACUGUGCCUGAUGUUCCUGGAAGGUGACUAGGCUGGUAAAGGUUUAACAGCUGGCUGUGAGUCCCUUUCACAGACUGGAGUUCAUUAAGAUCGGAGCUGGCUUGGAAGGCCCCCACCUGGUGACUCUCUCCGGCCCCGGACGUGUGGAAGCCGAGACCUGGCAGUUGUCUUUGUUUAUGGAAAUCAGAGUGAGGAUGCUGCAGCCAGCCUACCUCGUUCCCUCUGUCUUCCUCAGGCCUCCAUUGUGGCCCUCACCCCUGCCAGCACAGCAGAGGUACCAAGCCCACGGAGGUCCCUCUUGCCAGAGGUGCUUGUGACCAAAGAGACCACAGCCAAGCGUGGCUUUUCAUACAGCAGAAGACAGUUCAGCAGUGGGAACAUCUGGACAACUCUUCCAUUCAGAAAGCAUUGCCUGCAGCCCGUACUUAGCAGGAACAAGGUGAACUCUCUGAUUAGCCUCCAGUAAUGGGCCUCUCGGGUCUUCCCAGGGACUUGAUGAAGGCAUCUGGGGUGCAGGUGAAUCCCUGCCAACUGUUCCCUUGGCUGAGUCUUCGGGACAGAAGACAGCCACAACUUUUCUUUCAAAAUCAGAGCUGAGCUAACUGUGCCUCCGAAAAAUGCUGACACACGGCCCAAAAGCGAUCAGACACAUCUCUCCCAUUUUUUUUUUUUUUUUCUGCUGCUCUCCGUGAAAGCUACUGGUGUUUGAUGAGCAGAAACAAGCCGCCCUGCUGAGAUUUUUCUGCUGGAGCCAAGUGUUUCUGCCAAGAGUGCUGAGCGGCCGCCAUGUUGAAGGGACAGCUCUGUGCAGUCAGCUCCAAAAGAGGACUCCCCCUGCAUCUGUGAGACCUGCAGGAUUUCCCAUCAUUCCUUCUGUGCACAGUGGCCACAUUUAAGGGUGUGCAAGUGUGUAUAUGCACACACACAUACACACAAACACACACACACACACACACACACAAACACAUACACACAUCAUGAAACCCAAGGUUAAUAUGGAAGACAAAGAGUUUGAUCUAUUCUACGUUGCCCUGAAUUUUGCUUGGAAAUACUCGCUCGUAACACACCUUUAAGGAAAGUAGUUCCAUUUUGAAUGGCGUCUUUCUCCUACUUCCUGGGUUUAUUUCGUUUACUUCUGGUACAAGGAGAUCCAGCGUGUCCAAAUCUUAUGCCACUCCUUUAGUGGUCUGCCUUCCACCUGUCAUUCUGUGCCAGUCUCUGAGGGUUGGGUGGGGGCAAGAGAUGCGGUUAUUUUGUUGUUUUGGGGGCUCACUAAGGGGCCUUCUGUGCUGUCAGCAAAUCAGACCCUGAAGCCUGGGAGCUGAGGGGAGUCGGCCACGUCCUUCCUUUCCACCUUUAGCGGCACAGUAAUAACCCGUCUAAUUGCUCCCACAAUGAUCCCAGCAUGUCCCGAGCAAAGCCCAAGAGAAAACACACACCUAAGAUGAUGUCCAAGGGUCCUUUCUGGGGCUUCCAGGGAACUUUUCUGUUUGUUUUGAGACUGGGUUUCUCUGUGUAACAGCUCUGGUUGUCCUGGAACUCACUUCAUAGACCAGGCUGGCCUCCACUCAGAGAUACACCUGCCCCUGCCUCCUGAGUGCUGGGAUUAAAAGCAUGUGUCACCACACCUAGCCCGGGGUACCAUUUUGGUUGUUGUUUUGUGUUGAGAGCCUCUGCCCCUACCAGAUACGGUCUGCCUGGGGUCUAACUGCUCUGGCCUCGCUGGCUCUUCCCUUUCUUCCUCAGAUCUAUUUUUCAAUGGGACAGAGACACCCUGGAUUACCUUUGUUCUCCCAUGCAAUAUAAUUUUGCCAUGCCCAGAGGAGCAGAGAUGUACAGGGGGGAAUUACAGAGACUUUUUGCCUGUUUCCUGGUGGAACUUAGGUUUUUCUUACCUUAGCCUCUAAAUGAAGACAAGAGGAUAAAGCCCAGGCCACACGGCCACAGUACCACUGCCAAGCCUCCCAGAAGUUACCAUGGCUAAAAACUGGAAUCCCUGGGCUUCUCCCUUUAAAACACAACGUUUUACUAAAUGGGGUUGGUUGCCGCUGUUAAGACAAUGGGCCUGUCCAAGCAUCUUGUUCAGGAAUCAAGGGAAGAAAGACACUGUGGGGCCCAAGAACAGACGAGUUGCUCCCAAGAAUGGAAAACAAACGAGCCGAGGAAUAAAUGGAUGGAAAAACAAAGGGAAGAGAUUCCUCGAACAAUGCGGACUAUUGAAGGGGGGGCCGCACGGACAGAGGCCCAGGUCGUGGGACCAGUUGGGGAGUUGUGGGACAGGGGAGUUGAGCUGUCAGCAUGCAACUCGGGCGGAGGAGAAUCCCCCAUGCCCUGUGCUCCCGUUUCCUUGCUGCCGUCCCCUGUCCCCUGACCUGCUGCCUUUCGUGGCUGAAAAAAGGAGCAGGGAGGUGAGACGAGCGCAGGCGCGCACGCGCGCACGCGCGCACGCACGAAGGGUUCCCGAACCACCUGUCCCCUCUCCCACCCUGGCUUGGGUCCGCUGUGCACAAUCUACAGUGCCCUUUCUUCUCUGCCUGAGAACAUCUUGCAGGGAGGCCCACGGGUAAUUUCAGUGAAACCUACAGACUCCUGAGUAACUGGAUCUCAUUGUCCCCGUAGAUAAUGGAGCCUCAGGGAGCUGAGGACCAUAAUGGACCUGGGGGAUCUCCCUGACCCCAAAGUGGAAUUGAGGUAUCUUUUUCUUUCUAGAACACAUGAUCACCUCACCCCCUAACAUCGUGUUAGGAUCAUGAGGAAUUCGGGCACACGGGGAAGAUUUUUGUCCAGCGGGAGUCCCCAUGAUUAUUUUUUGCGGAGCACAGAUUCUUUUCGACUUACAAUGGAGUUCUGCCUUGUAAAUCCUGUCGUGGUCCGGGUUCAUCGUAAGUUGAACAUAUUUUAAGUUGAAAAUAGACUGAGCGUUUCCAACCUGUGGAACAUCAUAGGUCACAGAAGUCUGGGGAGUUGAAGGGAGAGGCCAGAGAAAGGCCAGCAAAGGGUCACAGUUCCCAAGGUCAAGUGACCCUUGUGGCUGUGCACUUAGAGAAAACGCUUGGCUGGGGAGUCGAUGCCAUAAUGCCGCGUGGUGAUGGCUGCAGAGGGACGGUCUCAGCAAUGUGUCACAAGCCAGGACAUCUAAGAGAAUCCCACUGAAGGCAAGAACACCUGCCUCUCACUGCAUAGGCCUGGCUGACUGGUACUUGCUAUGCAGUCCAGGCUGGCCUUGAAUUUGCAGCAAUCCUCCAGCCUCAGCCUCUCCAGUACUAGGAUUACAGACAUGUGCCGUCAACCCUGGAUAAAAUUUUCACUUAACUUUUAAAAUAUAUAUAUAUAUAUAUAUAUGAGAUAAAAGAAAUAUAUUAUACAUCUUUAUGAGAUAAAUAAAUAUAAAUAAUCAAAUAAAAAUAUUCGCACACAA